rnacentral:rRNA from 1 species
CAAUAGCGUAUAUUAAAGUUGUUGCGGUUAAAAAGCUCGUAGUUGGAUUUCUGCUGAGGACGACCGGUCCGCCCUCUGGGUGAGUAUCUGGCUCGGCCUUGGCAUCUUCUUGGGGAACGUAACUGCACUUGACUGUGUGGUGCGGUAUCCAGGACUUUUACUUUGAGGAAAUUAGAGUGUUUCAAGCAGGCGCACGCCUUGAAUACAUUAGCAUGGAAUAAUAAGAUAGGACCUUGGUUCUAUUUUGUUGGUUUGCGCACAGAGGUAAUGAUGAACAGGGACAGUUGGGGGUAUUUGUAUUUCGUUGUCAGAGGUGAAAUUCUUAGAUUUACGAAAGACAAACUACUGCGAAAGCAUUUACCAAGGAUGUUUUCAUUGAUCAAGAACGAAAGUUAGGGGAUCGAAGAUGAUUAGAUACCAU